CAUAAGCGGGGGGCUCCUACAAUGGUGUUCAAGCUCGACUUCGCCAAGGCUUUCGACUCCAUUGCCUGGCCCAGCCUUCGUCGGAUCAUGGAGGUGCAAGGGUUCCCGACUGCCUGGUGUGACUGGAUGGACCUCAUCCUUUCGUCCUCAAAAGUGGCGGUGCUCCUCAACUGGGUGCUGGGGCGGUGGUUUGCGGUCCGCAAGGGGCUGCGCCAGGGGGACCCGAUUUCCCCUACCUGUUCCUCCUGGUCACGGACGUGCUUCAACGCAUGA
rnacentral:rRNA from 1 species